CAGUCGCCACGGGAAUACAGAGGGUGCGAGCGUUAAUCGGAUUUACUGGGCGUAAAGCGUGCGUAGGCGGCUUCUUAAGUCGGAUGUGAAAUCCCUGAGCUUAACUUAGGAAUUGCAUUCGAUACUGGGAAGCUAGAGUAUGGGAGAGGAUGGUAGAAUUCCAGGUGUAGCGGUGAAAUGCGUAGAGAUCUGGAGGAAUACCGGUGGCGAAGGCAGCCAUCUGGCCUAAUACUGACGCUGAGGUACGAAAGCAUGGGGAGCAAACAGGAUUAGAUACCCCAGUAGUCCCUGUCUCUUAUAC
rnacentral:rRNA from 1 species